UCUUUGAUUAAUAGGUGUAAAUGAAGUGUUGAUAAUUGUUAACUUUUAAACAGGACAACCAAAAAUGUUAUGCACAGUCAAAAUAUUUUGAUUGAAAGUGCAUAAUAGCAUAGGUAGUAAGCAAUUAUAAAACACUGGGACAUUUCGUCAACAUAUGGAAGGUUCGGAAACUGGUGGAUCGUGAAAGGCAAAACUCUGAACCCUGUCAACAUGUAUAUUAUUUCUUCUUAUUAUUCGUUCAAUAUGUUGAGUA